rnacentral:rRNA from 1 species
AUUGAACGCUGGCGGCAGGCCUAACACAUGCAAGUCGAACGGUAGCACAGAGAGCUUGCUCUCGGGUGACGAGUGGCGGACGGGUGAGUAACGUCUGGGAAACUGCCCGAUGGAGGGGGAUAACUACUGGAAACGGUAGCUAAUACCGCAUAACGUCGCAAGACCAAAGUGGGGGACCUUCGGGCCUCACACCAUCGGAUGUGCCCAGACGGGAUUAGCUAGUAGGUGGGGUAAUGGCUCACCUAGGCGACGAUCCAUAGCUGGUCUGAGAGGAUGACCAGCCACACUGGAACUGAGACACGGUCCAGACGCCUACGGGAGGCAGCAGUGGGGAAUAUUGCACAAUGGGCGCAAGCCUGAUGCAGCCAUGCCGCGUGUAUGAAGAAGGCCUUCGGGUUGUAAAGUACUUUCAGCGGGGAGGAAGGCGGUGAAGUUAAAUACUUCACCGAUUGACGUUACCCGCAGAAGAAGCACCGGCUAACUCCGUGCCAGCCGCCGCCGUAAAAC